GACAGGCGGACCCGUUGUUUCGUUCACUUCCUUCUCUGGUCUGAACGAGAUGAACGAUCCACACACCAUGUGCCUUAAAAGCUCAAGGAAAAGAGCAGGGCAGGACUCUACAGAAUCUUGGGUCAGUCGGCAGUGGUCCGUCACAUAACUCGGUACCUGGAAAUCACACCAAGGAGAUGAACUGGAUGUUUGAUGACGAACACAUCCCCGCCAUAACUUAAGAUGGCCUUUGACUGGAUUCUUGGAAGACACGUGAUCGUUCAUGUCAUAAAGAUGAGUCCAAGACUGCUUCAGCAACACAACCAAGAACCUAUUUGAAGGUUCAGGAGGUUGUGGGAACAUGGUUGGUCUCCAUAGCCACUAACCCGGUCGACGAGUGCUGAAUGGGGAGCAAAUGUCACUGGCAUUGAUGGCGAUCCAAAAAGGUUUGGACAAAGGAGCCAAAGAUCUCUACAGUUGAAAGGUGCUCAGCAUGCCACUUAAUGUGGCACUGUCAAAUUUUACCAUGUUGGAAAAGUUCAAGAAACUGCCACUAAUUCUGGACAGAACUUUGCUGUGGAGGACAUCACCUGGUUUUCUGCCCUCAAGCUUUACUUUCAACUGGUUCACAAAACCUUUGUCUAAAAUGUGUCAACUACAGCCAGCAUUUGACAUUAAACACUUUUGAAAUUGA